rnacentral:rRNA from 1 species
CGAUGCAACGCGAAAACCUUACCUACCUUGACAUGUCAAGAAUUUUGCAGAGAUGUGAAAGUGCUCGAAAGAGAACUUGAACACAGGUGCUGCAUGGCCGUCGUCAGCUCGUGUCGUGAGAUGUUGGGUUAAGUCCCGCAACGAGCGCAACCCUUGUCAUUAGUUGCUACCGCAAGGAGCACUCUAAUGAGACUGCCGGUGACAAACCGGAGGAAGGUGGGGAUGACGUCAAGUCCUCAUGGCCCUUACAUCCCGGGCUACACACGUGCUACAAUGGCAGGUACAGAGGGCUGCGAAGCCGCGAGGUGGAGCGAAUCCCAGAAAACCUGUCUCAGUCCGGAUUGAAGCCUGCAACUCGACUUCAUGAAGGCGGAAUCGCUAGUAACCGCGAAUCAGCAGGUCGCGGUGAAUACGUUCCCGGGCCUU